rnacentral:rRNA from 1 species
AGAUUGAACGCUGGCGGCAGGCCUAACACAUGCAAGUCGAGCGGCAGCACGGGUACUUGUACCUGGUGGCGAGCGGCGGACGGGUGAGUAAUGCCUAGGAAUCUGCCUGAUAGUGGGGGGAUAACGUUCGGAACGGACGCUAAUACCGCAUACGUCCUACGGGAGAAAGUGGGGGAUCUUCGGACCUCACGCUAUCAGACUGAGCCUAGGUCGGAUUAGCUAGUUGGUAGGUAAAGCCUACAAGGCUACGAUCCGUAAUGGUCUGAGAGGAUGAUCAGUCACACUGGAACUGAGCACGGUCCAGACUCCUACGGGAGGCAGCAGUGGGGAAUAGUUGGACAAGUGGGGACAAAGGCCUGGACUCCAGUCCAGUGGCCGCGUGGUCGUAGAAGGUAACGGGUCUUUACGGAUUUA